GAUGAACGCUGGCGGCGUGCCUAACACAUGCAAGUCGAACGGGAACUUUGGAAUGAAGGUUCGCUGGAUUUCCAAAAAUUCUAGUGGCGGACGGGUGAGUAACGCGUGGGUAACCUGCCCUUAAGAGGUGAAUAACAGUGAGAAAUUAUUGCUAAUACACCAUAUGCUUACAGUAUCGCAUGAUACAGUGAGGAAAGGAAUUUCGCUUAAGGAUGGACCCGCGUUUGAUUAGCCAGUUGGCAGGGUAAAAGCCUACCAAAGCAACGAUCAAUAGCCGGCCUGAGAGGGCGAACGGCCACAUUGGAACUGAGACACGGUCCAAACUCC
rnacentral:rRNA from 1 species